GAGUCACGGCUGAGUCAGCGCGUGCUCUGUUUUAUCUCGUUUUGCUCGGGGAGGAGGUGGAAGCCAUGGCGGAGACCGGAGAGGUCUGCAGCGACGCCGCACCCAAAUUUGCCGGUGUUGGAGGGGGCCGUGCUUUAAGCGAUGGGAAGACCGCCGAUGGAGAGAGCGGUUAUCCCGCAGCAGGCGCUAGCGGCGAUGUAGAGAGUCGCGACUCCAGGGAAGAGAUCGACGAUUCAUGAGCGUUGGAGGCAUGUGCGACGCCGGUGACCUGGCUCGAGGGUAGGAGGUGCUCUGAGGUCGCCCAGGUCCUCCCGGAGAGCUACGAGCCGCCCUCCGACGAGCCCUGGACCACAGGGAUCUUCUGAUGCAACGACGAACCCGAGCUGCAUGUAUUUAACCUCUACUUUUCUCUUACGUCUUUACUUUCUCUGGUCCGUCACGGUUCAAUUGCGCUAAUUCUGUUCCUCCGUUUGGCUUGUGGUGCUACACCUACAUCAUAUCAUAUCGUAUUCAUCCCCUUGCCAGAUUUGUGGCCUUGAAUGUUUAAUUGUGUGUUCUCUGAUACCAGUGUUUGCCACGGUUCCAUGAAUGGGUUAAACAGUCUUAUUGUCUUAUGUUCUUAGGAUGGAAUGGAUCAUUUACCUGAGGUCUUGAAGGAUGGUAUGAGCCCAAUGUGACCUUCAUUGAUUCCUUCUCUUGUCCUUCAUUUCACACUUUUUAGGAGAUGAUUGAAAUAUGUAAUUGUGAUAGGCUGAAAUUGUGUCCGCUACAUUUUGCUAUUAUCCUUCAUUUCACACUACCUUGUAACUUUGAUUAGUUUUUGAGCACCAAAAUUGGGGUUCUGUGGUUAAUGGAACUGGAAUUUGUUACUGUAAGUGUUAUAGUUUUGCACUUGUCACUGUUGGAUUACAACUGCUGCUUCUGUGGAUGCAUGCAAGGGACAACUAGACCGUUGGCUGAGAUAAAAGAGCGGAGUGAUUCCAGUGGUCGGAAUCAGAUACGUCAUCAUGGUCAACACGUUCAUGUGUGUUUUCUGAAUGAACAUGAUGAUUUUUUGAAUAAUCCUCUUGCACUGUAUCUUAGUUUAUAUGGAUCAAAAUAUUGUCAUAGUCAUCAAUGCAUUUGAGUUUACUACUUGCUAUGUUUAUCCAUUAUCCACAGGUGUAAGAAAAUCUUAUAGAAGAACAAUAAUCUAUAAGUUAUGAACUUUUAGAAUAGCUCAUUUAGUCUCCUGCGCACUUCAGUUACUAUAAUUGAGUCUCAUGAGUGUUUCAGUCUCCUUCAUCAGCCUUUUAGUCUUGAAAUCCCUAGUUUUGUCCUCAGGCUUCAUUAAUUCACUAAGUCUAUGGCAGUUGUCUUUUCUAUAGCUUUUUGCAUUCUUCUACUUACUCUUGGUUCGCCUUUUCUUCGCCCGCGGGUUUUAUUAAAAUUAGAUGUGAAAUUUCUGCAAUGAACACCAAGGUACAAACAUAGCUUGAAUCUUCAGCCUUUCAGUUUAGUCAUUUUUCUUCAGUCUUUCAGUAUCAAGCUUCUCAGAUUCUCAAUAUUUCCAUUCACUAAUCAUCAACUAUUCAUUCUUUCAUUAGAUAUGUUUAUCAGUUUCUACGGUCAUUGUUUCUUCUCUUCUUUCUCCAGUCUCCGCCUUAUGUUUUUUUAAUUUUCAGUCACUCUUUUGUUUGAUCCGUUUUCUUUAGUCACUCAGUGUUAAGUAUUUCAAUUUUUCAGUCACUAAAUCCCUGAAUUUUCAUUAUUUUCAGUUUCUCUAUGUAUUUACGCAGUGUACAUUUCAGUACUUAUUUUUAAUUUGCUCAUUUUCUAUAUAUUUCAAUUUUCAUUUUCUUUCACCAGUUUUCAGUCAACAUUAUCUUUUUUUUAGUCCCCGGUUUCCAGUUUAUUUAUUUCUUCAGUUCACCAUUAUUUUUCUUCAGUUAUCAUUCUGUCAAAAUCAGUUCUUAUUCUUGAUCAGUUCUCAGUCUUUAUUUUUUAUUACCAGUUUCUUACACGUUCAUUCUUCAUUUUUUCAGUAAAUAAGUUUACUAUCUUUUAGUUAAUUUAGUAUUUCAUUUUUUAGUUUCUCAGUCUACAUUUUGCUUUUUCAUUUAUUCAUCUCUGAAUUUCUCAAUUCUUCAAUUUAGUGCUUAGCCUUCAUUUUGUUGGAGGGAAAGGAUCAAAAAAGGUUGAUGUCCAAAACUGUUUGGCUUUCUUGUACUUUGUGCUCUUUGUCUUGUCUAGUAGAUUGGUAAGAUCUCCCAUCGUGUAAAUUUGAUUGCUCAACAACAUUGAAAUUUCAAAUAUUUAUGAUAUAAACAACACAUAUAAUAUGGAAACUAGGAAACUGCCGUUGAAGUCGCUUAUUCAUGAUCCAAACUGUUAUCUAGUAUGGUCCUUAACACAAAAUUGUUUGACAUUGCAUGUAUUUAUAGCUGGUACCCCGGUUAAUUGUUCGGCAAAUAGGUUUUGUAUUGAGGUUCUUCUGUAGUUCUGAUCAACCACAAUAUUUUUGUGCUUAUAAUUGAUUUGGUCUGAAUAUACUGAUAUACUGCAUUACUUCUAUUUUUGUAGUAUGGCCAUUAACUGCACUACGCAUUAGUUUGAGCCAAAUUUUACGAUGCCCUACUCAGCUGAAGUGGAUGAGGUGGUGCUGGCAAAUGGUAUUAUUUCAGGGAACCUAUAUGCACGGCUCUUUCCGUUGUUUGGACCAAUUCCUUGGUAGCCACCUUGGGCAUGUCGCUCACAUUUCCACCAGCAAUGGUUGCUAACAUGGUCGACAUUAGUUUUAUCCAGGUAGUUUUAUCCAGGUAACUAAUUCCUCGCACCUCAUAUUAGCUUAUUGCCGGUUUGGGAAAAGAUAUAGUUCAGAUCACUCUGUAUACACUAAUUCGCACUAAGUCCACAGCUUGUUUUACUUCCACUGUUCAAUGAAGCGCAUGUCUUGUUUAGAUAUCAUCUGAGUUCGUCUUCGUUGUUGUUCUCAUAGGGUUCUUUGCCAUGUUCUGAUCAUUUUCUUUAUUCUUUUAUCACAGCUCAUUUUCUCCAUCUUUUCUUCUCUUCUAUAAUCUCGGGAUAUAUGCCAUGUUCUCAUAUUGAUCUCAUUCUUCGGUCCUUAUGAGCUCAUUCACUCUUUCUUAUGAGUUUUGUACAACAAUUUUGCAUUCUCUCUCAUUUUUAGUCAAUCCAUUUCUUAUUAUAUCUUAAGUUAUUUUCUCACACUUUUAUCUUUAGCAAAUCUUAUUUUCUUCAGUCAUUCUUCAUUUCUUUUGUUUUCCAGAUCCUCCAUUGCCUAUCCCACAACAAAGAAUGUUUUACAAACGAACAUGGUAUUUGAAUUUGUACCAGUGAGAUACAACACAUGCCUUUGAAAGUCUAAUAAUAUGUUACUUAAGUAUUAGGUUAUGUUGUUAAAAGCCAAAUACUCUAUCUCAAAUCCAAGUUUAUUGAGGCCUGAUUUUGUUAUCUCUGAAUUUCUAACAUAUCAUUCUGCCGGCUUGUUGACAUUAAAUUUCGCAAUAUCGUUUAGGCACAAUGAACAUGCUGUAAAUCUUGUCACUGCGCAUGCUGACAUCCUCCAGGCCAAGUCCCCCGAGCUGUUCUGGACAGAGUGGUGCAGCUGAAGACGACAAAGAUGGGUGGUGACGGCGGACCACAUAGUGCUGCUCUGCGUCUCUUCACCGCCCUGAAGCGUUGCUCCGCCUCUCUUCACUGCCCUGGAGGUCCGUACCAGCUGUCAGACAACGCAGUCGAAGGCGCGAUCCCGUUGCAGCUGGGUCCACCCGUGACGAUCUGGGCGUUUCCUGUUCUUCUAGAUGGGGGCAGAGUAGCUGGCGUGGUUUUAUUUUGUUGUAUAGUUCUACGUGAUGUGCCAUGUGUGUGUGGAAGCUGCACAAGCUUCAUCCUUCCUCCCUCUAGGUUUACGAUUAAGAGCUCGGUUAUCGCAUCGGGCAGUAAGAUCAUGGGGAAGACAUGUGUUUUCUAAAUGUUUGUUUGUGACAUUCAGGUGGUUCCAAUUGACUCCCUAUAUCCAUGUAUGCUAGUACCUACUAGCUAUCUACCAUUAUACCUACU